UACGUAGGGGGCAAGCGUUGUCCGGAAUCAUUGGGCGUAAAGCGCGCGCAGGCGGUCCUUUAAGUCCGAUGUGAAAUCUUGCGGCUUAACCGCAAGCGGGCAUUGGAAACUGGGGGGCUUGAGUACAGAAGAGGAGAGCGGAAUUCCACGUGUAGCGGUAAAAUGCGUAGAGAUCUGGAGGAACACCAGUGGCGAAGGCGGCUCUCUGGUCUGUAACUGACACUGAGGCGCGAAAGCGUGGGGAGCGAACAGG
rnacentral:misc_RNA from 1 species